UACGAACGCUGGCGGCAUGCCUAACACAUGCAAGUCGAACGAGAUCUUCGGGUCUAGUGGCGCACGGGUGCGUAACGCGUGGGAAUCUGCCCUUUGGUUCGGAAUAACAGUUGGAAACGACUGCUAAUACCGGAUGAUGACGAAAGUCCAAAGAUUUAUCGCCAGAGGAUGAGCCCGCGUAGGAUUAGCUGGUUGGUGUGGUAAAGGCGCACCAAGGCGACGAUCCUUAGCUGGUCUGAGAGGAUGAUCAGCCACACUGGGACUGAGACUCGGCCCAGACUCCUACGGGAGGCAGCAGUGGGGAAUAUUGGACAAUGGGCGAAAGCCUGAUCCAGCAAUGCCGCGUGAGUGAUGAGGGCCUUAGGGUUGUAAAGCUCUUUUACCCGGGAUGAUAAUGACAGUACCGGGAGAAUAAGCUCCGGCUAACUCCGUGCCAGCCGCCGCCGUAA
rnacentral:rRNA from 1 species